GGUGCUGCUGGCAAACCAGCCCGCAGGUCGGGUUUGUGCUUUGCGGUGAUGAAAGCCAGGUGUGGGCAUCGCCCUCUGCCAACCGGGGGACUGCCAGCCCUGCCCAGAUACCAUAGUGGGUGGCACUUCAUAACGACACAGACAGAGAGAACCCAUUCCAGACCAGUGCCCUGGUGUUUGGAGAUCUGGAUUGCAGCUGCUCUGACUCUGAAUUUACUCCCCUCGCUAGGAGAUCCGGAAGUUGGCACUCAGCCU
rnacentral:lncRNA from 1 species